GAUGAAGAACGUAGCGAAAUGCGAUACGUAAUGUGAAUUGCAGAAUUCAGUGAAUCAUCGAGUCUUUGAACGCACAUUGCGCCCCCUGGUAUUCCGGGGGGCAUGCCUGUCCGAGCGUCAUUGCUGCCCUCAAGCACGGCUUGUGUGUUGGGCCUCCGUCCUCCUCCCGGGGGACGGGCCCGAAAGGCAGCGGCGGCACCGCGUCCGGUCCUCGAGCGUAUGGGGCUUCGUCACCCGCUCUUGUAGGCCCGGCCGGCGCUUGCCGACACAUCAAUCUUUUUUCCAGGUUGACCUCGGAUCAGGUAGGGAUACCCGCUGAACUUAAGCAUGUCAAUAAGCGAGGA
rnacentral:misc_RNA from 1 species